rnacentral:rRNA from 1 species
AUUGAACGCUGGCGGCAUGCUUUACACAUGCAAGUCGAACGGUAACAGGCCUUCGGGUGCUGACGAGUGGCGAACGGGUGAGUAGUGCAUCGGAACGUGCCCAAUCGUGGGGGAUAACGUAGCGAAAGUUACGCUAAUACCGCAUAAGCCCUGAGGGGGAAAGCAGGGGAUCGCAAGACCUUGCGCGAAUGGAGCGGCCGAUGUCAGAUUAGCUAGUUGGUGGGGUAAAGGCCUACCAAGGCGACGAUCUGUAGCGGGUCUGAGAGGAUGAUCCGCCACACUGGGACUGAGACACGGCCCAGACUCCUACGGGAGGCAGCAGUGGGGAAUUUUGGACAAUGGGCGCAAGCCUGAUCCAGCCAUGCCGCGUGCGGGACGAAGGCCUC